rnacentral:rRNA from 1 species
UGGGGAAUCUUGGACAAUGGGGGGAACCCUGAUCCAGCCAUGCCGCGUGUGUGAAGAAGGCCUUAUGGUUGUAAAGCACUUUAAGCGAGGAGGAGGGUACUGGUAUUAAUACUACUAGGUACUGGACGUUACUCGCAGAAUAAGCACCGGCUAACCCUGUGCCAGCAGCCGCGGUAAUACAGAGGGUGCGAGCGUUAAUCGGAUUUACUGGGCGUAAAGCGUGCGUAGGCGCCUAAUUGAGUCGGAUGUGAAAUCCCCGAGCUUAACUUAGGAAUUGCAGUCGAUACUGGUUAGCUAGAGUGUGGGAGAGAAUGGUAGAAUGCCUGGUGUAGCGGUGACAUGCGUAGAGAUCUGGAGGAAUACCGAUGGCGAAAGCAGCCAUCUGGCCUAACACUGACGCUGAGGUACGAAAGCAUGGGGAGCAAACAGG